GAUGAAGAACGCAGCGAAAUGCGAUAAGUAAUGUGAAUUGCAGAAUUCAGUGAAUCAUCGAAUCUUUGAACGCAUCUUGCGCUCCUUGGUAUUCCUUGGAGCAUGCCUGUUUGAGUAUCAUGAGCAAAUCUCAAAGUCAAUUCCUUUUGUUGAUUCAAUUGGUUUUGCUUUGGACUUGGAGGCCUUGCAGAUUUCACAGUCUGCUCCUCUUAAAUGCAUUAGCUGGAUCUCAGUAAUUAUGCUUGGUUCCACUCGGCGUGAUAAGUAUCACUCGCUGAGGACACUGUUAAAAAGGUGGCCAGGAAAAUACUGAUUGAACCGCUUCUAACCGUCUAUUAAGUUAGACAAUUACCCUUAAGUUUGAUCUCAAAUCAGGUAGGACUACCCGCUGAACUUAAGCAUAUCAAUAAGCGGAGGA
rnacentral:misc_RNA from 1 species